rnacentral:pre_miRNA from 1 species
GAGACACCCCUCUGGGGCAAGACUUGCUUCAGUGGGGCUUUGGUGCUCACUGAAUCUGCCCCCUGAGUGUGUCCCU